rnacentral:rRNA from 1 species
UACGAAGGGUGCGAGCGUUGUUCGGAAUUAUUGGGCGUAAAGGGUUCGCAGGCGGGAGAUGUAGUCAAUUGUGAAAUCCCUGAGCUUAACUUGGGACGUGCAGUUGAGACACAUUUUCUUGAGUAUUGGAGAGGGUGGUGGAAUUGUUGGUGUAGGAGUGACAUCCGUAGAGAUCAGCAGGAACAUCGGAGGCGAAGGCGACCACCUGGCCGAUAACUGACGCUUAGGAACGAAAGCAUGGGGAGCAAACAGG